rnacentral:rRNA from 1 species
UACGUAGGGACCAAGCGUUGUUCGGAUUUACUGGGCGUAAAGGGUGCGUAGGCGGCCUUAUAAGUCAGUGGUGAAAGCCCAUCGCUCAACGAUGGAACUGCCAUUGAUACUGUAAGGCUUGAGUACAGACGAGGUAGGCGGAAUUGAUGGUGUAGCGGUGAAAUGCAUAGAUACCAUCAAGAACACCGAUUGCGUAGGCAGCUUACUAGGCUGUAACUGACGCUGAGGCACGAAAGCGUGGGGAGCGAACAGG